rnacentral:snRNA from 1 species
GUUCUUGUCCAGGGACUUCGCGUUGUUAUUGAUCGUCAAAGUGAAACACGUGAUUGCUGAUUGCAAACUGUCCCAAUUACCCCGCUUACCACUCUCUAACGGGAGUGGGGAGCAAUUUUUGAACUCUGGAAGCUCUUCAG